rnacentral:snRNA from 1 species
AUCGCUUCUCGGCCUUUUGGCUAAGAUCAAGUGUAGAAAUAUGUUAUCAACAUUUUGUUACUGUCUGUCUUGUGUUCUACCUCAAGGUUGCCCAUGAAAGCACCAAUUUCUAUAAUACUAAAAAUGCUUUUCCA